rnacentral:tRNA from 1 species
GUGGUUGUGGCUCAGUGGUAGAGUACUUGCCUCGCCUGUGUGAUUCACUGAGUUCAAGUCUCAGCAUCACA